rnacentral:rRNA from 1 species
GUGCAGCAGUCGCGAAUUUUUCUCAAUGGGGGAAACCCUGAAGGAGCGACGCCGCGUGGAGGAUGAAGGCUUUCGGGUUGUAAACUCCUGUCAUUUGGGAACAAGGUGCACACGUUAACUGCGUGGGUAUUGAUAGUACCAGAAGAGGAAGGGACGGCUAACUCUGUGCCAGCAGCCGCGGUAAUACAGAGGUCCCAAGCGUUGUUCGGAUUCAUUGGGCGUAAAGGGUGCGUAGGUGGCGCUGUAAGUCGGGUGUGAAAUUUCGAGGCUUAACCUCGAAACUGCAUUCGAUACUGCGGUGCUUGAGGACUGGAGAGGAGACUGGAAUUCAUGGUGUAGCAGUGAAAUGCGUAGAGAUCAUGAGGAAGACCAGUGGCGAAGGCGGGUCUCUGGACAGUUCCUGACACUGAGGCACGAAGGCCAGGGGAGCAAACGGGAUUAGAUACCCGCGUAGU